UACGGAGGGGGCUAGCGUUGUUCGGAAUUACUGGGCGUAAAGCGCACGUAGGCGGACCGCUAAGUCGGAUGUGAAAGCCCUCGGCUUAACCGAGGAAGUGCAUUCGAAACUGACAGUCUUGAGUAUGGAAGAGGGUCGCGGAAUUCCCGGUGUAGAGGUGAAAUUCGUAGAUAUCGGGAGGAACACCAGUGGCGAAGGCGGCGACCUGGGCCAAUACUGACGCUGAGGUGCGAAAGCGUGGGGAGCAAACAGGAUUGAGAAACCCCA
rnacentral:rRNA from 1 species